UGACAGCUCCGCUAGUUACUUGCUCGGGUCCUUAGCUCCACUUUUGGGGAAUGUUAUAGCGUUAAAACAUGGCUGCUGAACAUACUCACAAAAAAGAGACUAAUCGUGAUAUGGGUUUUUGGGUUAAGGACAUUAUGGAAUUUGUGGUUUCAUAUCAUUUGCACUGACAAAUAAUUAUUGUUUAUCCGUUUUACUUUCUCUUUGAGAGUCAUGAUUUCAGGAUGCUGGAUUUCAGCCAUUGGGACAUAAAUAUUCUAAUUUAUAUGUCAUUUUUGGGGAUUCUUACAACUUUUAAUCGGUGGAAUAAAUGUUUAGAACAGCGUUGUUGCUCAGUAAAAGCAAGGAUAAGCAAAUUUGGGGAAUGAUUUGAACAAAUAUGGUAAAUACCAUAAUGUAAACAGGGUAACCCACUAGUAAGUGGUAAUUCAGGUACUUCGCUGAACUCUAUCAAUGGGAUAUUUUAUCACUUGGGCAAAAUCAUGAUUUAUAUGAUCUUUGAUGGGAUUUGAAAAUUUGAAUGAAUUCAUCGGUAUAUGAAUAUGGGAAUCAAGUUGUGGCAAUGGAUUAUAUAAUCUAGGGUUCGAAUUCUCUUUACAGCCCUGUCUCAAGGGGCUCUCAUAUUUUACUAAUAUUCUCGUUCAAGAGUUUUUACAGCACAUGAUAAACAGCUUUGGGAAAAAACUUGAACAAGUAUGGUAAUCAUCAUAACACGAAAAGCUAACCCACUUGUAAGUGGUAAUUCAGGUACUUCGCUGAACUUUAUCUCGUGGAAGCAUGUAAGCAUGACAGGGAUUUGAGAAAUUUUCUACUUCUUUACUUGGGCAAAACCAUGACUUAUAUGAUCUAUGCUGGGAUUUAUGUAACCACAACAUCAUCUUGGAAGUUGCACAACUUCUGCAUAUGUGCUUAGACUUGCAAUAUGACAUUAUUAAUACACGAAGCUGCACACCUUCUGCAUAUGUGCUAGGGCUUGAACUACAACUUGAAUUAUGUUACUUGGGAACUGUAGUUAUGCUAACUCUCUCACAAUCAUCACAAGCAUGAGCACCAAACACACACACACUUAACAUGUUCAUAACAGAGUAUUGCACAUGUCACCAGAGGGGGGAGUAGGGUGUAUACCCGUAGUCCCCAAUUUUCAAAUUCAAAAAUUGCUUCUCAGCAAGUCAAGGGAAAAACAGAGGGAUCAUGCUUCACCAGAGCAGAGGGGUCACACCCAACCAGAACAGAGAGGUCCCUGACAAUCGUAAGCCGCGAAAGUUGGUCGUGCCCGAUCCGGCCUUCCAUGCUCCGCGCAGAGGUUCCUGACAAUCGUAAGCCGCGAAAGUUGGUCGUGUCAUUCGGGCCUUCCAUGCUCCGCGCAGAGAUAGCACUUAAUCAUAAGCCGCGAAAGUUGGUUGCACCCCCCGGGUUUUCCAUGCUCCGCGCAGAGGUUGCUUUAACCGUAAGCCACGAAAGUUGGUGGCACCCCCCGGGUCCUCCAUGCUCCNN
rnacentral:lncRNA from 1 species